ACAUAUCAGUUAAGUUCACAUUUUGAAACAUCUAGUUUUUUCCAGGUUGGACCAAACUAAAUCCACAUGAAGCACAUUGCUAGUCACCCAAUAAAGUUCCAUUAAAGCGUCCUGUUAAUCUCACAGUAAGAUCAUGCAGUGUGUGACUUGUGCUCCACUCUAAAACAUACCACUCCCAUCAAAGGAACUCUACAUUUUGCGAUAGUGGUAUGUACUAUUUCUUUUGCUGGACAGACAUCCUGUUGCCAAUUGCCAAGCCACGGCUCCAGAACUGGCUGCAAAGGAUGGUUUACUUGCCCUCCCAGACACAGGAAAAGAAACGGUUCACAGGACUCUUGUGAAAAUGAAGUUGAUGAGGCAGAUUCUUAUCCCAGAGCACAAGGAAAAUCUCAUACCAAUGCAUUCCCCUCUGACAUCCAGUUGGAAUCCUUUGUUGCACUCACAGCGGUAGCUCCCAGGAGUUGGAAUACAGCGCCCAUUAAGACAGAGAUGUCUGAAUAGCUGGCAAUAGUCAGUGAAAUUAACUGGCAAAACCACUGAAAUGAAAGAGUUACAAAAGUAGAUUAAUAGGUUAUAAUAAUGAUUUUCUGUAAUACUUUCUCUAAUACAACUCGUAUAGCAUUCUCCAUUAAAAGUUAACAUUUACCUUCCAUCAACACAUAGAUUAGAGAAGAAAUUGGAUAGCACUAAGCGUGCAAAAGCAGCACUAUGUCCCAGACAGCACUGUUUGAGAAUGGCUGGUAAAUGUUGACUUUUUCAUGGUGACAGCUAUAAUCUGCUUUCCCAUCUUGCAGAACACAACUUUUAGGGCUAAACCCAUGCAUAAGGAGGUGUGUGGUAUUAUAUAGGGAUGAUAAAAAGCCAGCAUUAGCCAACAGCUGCGACACAGUACCUCAAAUAUCUCCAUUUUUAUAGCUAGGAAUUGGACAGAUUACUGUGGUAACUAUGUGGUAUCAGUUGGCAAGUGCUUACUGUGGGCUGCAUUGGCAUUUUGCAAACCAGUCUGAGUAAGGGACAGGAUAGGGAAUGAACUGACACUCUGAAAGUCAGAGUUCUUUUCCUGCUUCCUCCUUGCACCAGACACCUAAACCUUCCCCUAGCCUUUUCCUUGGCACAGUUUACUUCUCUCUCUACAGUGGCUCACUUGCACGGGCCAGUGCACUGGAUGAGUAUGUGAGGCAUGCUGAAUUGGAGCUCUGGUUCCACUUUCUCCCCACACCUGUCUGCUUAAUCCCCACUCACCUAAGGAACAGUGGAAGUAGCAGCCUGGCAGCAGCAGUUGCUCUCCCUCACACAAGUGUGAGAGAUACAGCAAUUUCCUGCCAUACCCUUGGGAGACCUUACUGCAUUCAAUUUAAGUAUCUUUGGGGUUCAUUGUAUCAAUGUACUACCACAGUCUGGGAUUUUACGAAACCUCUCAAGUCAGGGAGGAUGUGACAGAUGUGAGACCUUGGGGUUCAAUUAACUAUAUUGAACAAUGUGCCUGACAAGAACAGACUUUUGGAAUAAAACAUGUUCAAUGUUUUUCCUGGUGAAUAUCUAGAGGAAGGUGAAUGCUAAUUCCUUAACCUCCAGUUAUACAAAAUCCCAGCCUGGGGAGUGGGCCAUUGUCUGCUGAUCACCUGUUGGAUGAGGCCAAGAUCAUAGGCCCAAAGUGUAUAAAGGAAGGACUGAACUAUUCACUGCUGUUCUGGUUCUGAAUGUGAGAUGGUUAUGAAUUGUAACCACAGGGAAAACCCAGUUGUGGGUUUUGAGGGACUGACACCUACCAGAGCCUGAGGUUGGAGUCAGGGUGACCUGUAGUAAGCUUUAUAGCACAUUUGUGGGUUCUUUUAUUGUUUUUAAUAUGUUUUCUCUGUAAUGCUUUCAGUCUUAAGAAUACAUAUACUUGCUUAUAAAGAGCUGGGUGCUAACUUAUAGCUGGGCAAUUACACUGUUCAUAACUUCUAGAGAGGAAGCAAAAAGCAAAUGCUGGCUUGCUAGGCAGUCUGGCUUGCUGGGGAUAUCACAGUGUAGACAGGGAAUUGUGUAGCCUGGAAAAACCCUCGUCAGGAAGGAGAGCAAUGUGUGUCUCUGCCCAAGAGAGGUGAUGGCUGAGGAGCCAGGAUCUUAAAGUGGGUGCCAGACCAUGGGGGGGGGGGAAUAGAGGUGCUGCUGCCCUGAACUUGUGACAGCAAGGACUUGCAAUAUGAGUAGCCUGCACAGGGAAGUAAGGGAACUCAUUAUAAUCCUUCCUCCCCUUCGCAGACAUGUAGUUGGGCUCAAGACUGAGCCUUAAAAAUGACAACCAGCACAGCACAUUGGCCAUGGUAAAUAUAAUGUAGGAGUAAAGAUGGUAUCUAAUUAAGAGGGGAUGGUGUUACAGAGAAUGCAGGUCUACCACAAGGGGCCUGGUUACAGGGAAAACAAGACAUGGUUAUCCUGAAACCCAGUCAGUGCACAUGCAACCACCCAAAGCAAGCACAAGACAGCAACAAUAGGAGUGAGCACACUGCUCCUGAGAAAUUCACAUUUUAAAUGUGAUAAAGACCCAGUAUCCUGCAGGGAAAGGGCUAAUAUUUAUUCUUACCAUGUGGAGGUGGACCGCGUGAUGGAGGUGGAAAAACAAUGUCUGGCCGUUGUGGUAUCACAGGAAUCAGAGGAGGAUAAACAUCAGGAAGGCCUGGAGGAAGAUCAGGUCUCCCAGGCGUUAGCCCAGCUACCACGCAUAACUUGCGAUACUCCUCUGAAACAUGAAUACACAGCACUUCAGUCUGGUGAUAGUAAACAUGAAAUACCUUCCUGGAAAAUGGAGACCAAGUGAACUUGUUUCGUAACAGAGGACCUCAUUCUGUGAACUGUCCUUCUAGUCCAAAGUAGAAUUUAGUACACAGUUCAUCAAAGCACUGCCAGUAAAGAGAGAACAUGUCAUUGGAAAUCUACAUUUAAAAGCCACGAGGGGGCAUCAGGGAACCAAUCCUAUUCUAUUUAUUUAGUCUCUUUCAGGCAAUAUCUCUGCCAAACUCAAUGGGAAUAAGAACUUUUGGACUGGGCCCCAAAUUAACUACCAUCCUGAAGUCUUAAAAAUUCAGCCCGUCCUGCAGGCUGACUUCCACAGAACAACACUGAGUUUCUGUUUAAAGAAAAGAAACAAAACAAAAAAUAAAAACCUUCUUUCCUGUAUGUCAAGUGAAAUUUUCAGGCUCCAGGGUUGUAUUUUUGUCUCUCAUUAGCAUCUCAAGUUGUAAAUCCCUUUAUUAGCUCAGAAUAAGAAGAGUGAACUUGAAGGCUACAUAACUUACAUUAACAAAACCUAUAAUAUGUAAAGUGAUUUUACAUAUAUUUUCAAGGUAUAAUAUACUAGUAUAACUGACGAUCACAAGGCCACAUUUUCAACUGACCUUUUUAAUCAAGUCCACAAAACAUGUAUAUACAAAUAGUCAUUAGUGCAUGCAAAUCUGAAGGCUUUGGGGCAAUAAUGAAGGGGUUCAGUGAAAAUGAUGCUAAGAGAUAAAUUAGUCCUAAAAAAAUAAAGUAGUAUGCAUGUACAAAACACUUAACAUAACAAAUUAUAACUUUUUCCUAAGGACAUUGCCAGGAAAGUUAGAUUGAACGCUUUAGUCUUCAAUCCGACUGUCCAACAGCUUAUAUGCUGUUCAAUAUGUUAGAGUAGAUUUGUUAAAUAUGAUAUUAACCUAAGAUUUUCUUUUCCCCGUCAUGAUCCACUGCAUUUGUUUUGCUUCUCUUGGACAACCAGGCUGCUUUACGUUUCACUGUAUUUCCCUUUCCUGCUCUUUAAAGUGUCUUUACCUUUAAAGUCUUUCCCAAUAUUUUUUUUAUUAGAUAAGAGAUUUUCAGGUUUUGUUUUUUUAUUUAAGCUUAUAGGAUUUGUUGUAACUUUCUUUUUCACUCCUCAUUCAGAAAGUGUGUUGAAUCUGCUUUCAGUUAGUUAGUCUAACAGCUAUAAAAAUAACCUUUACGUUAGACAUUCAGAAGGAAUAGUGUGUGUGUGAGAAAAAGGCAGACACACACAGAUAUUUAAAUAUCUGUUAAUGACUAAGUGUAUCUUUAGAAGAGGAGAGGUGACCAGGGGAAGUAUCCAGACAGUAGAGAUACAGGAGAGCAACACUGACUGCCCACUGGAAUACUGGAUAGUUUAUCGUCACUGGGGCAUAGGAGUGUCUAUACUGGAAACCCAGAGAGACUUCAUUCCCCUGGGAAAUACAGAUUGUGAGCCCAACUUUCAAACAUGGACAUCUAAACUGCAACUCCCAAUUCCUUAUUGGUGUGCUCAAAUCAGCAAACAGUUGCCAUAAUCCCCUUUUUAAACACCUACAUUUGAGCAUCCUAAUUUAAGUGCCCACUUUAGAAAAUUUGCCUUUGUGAGCCAACAGGGAACUUCUUUGAUGCUGUGUGUGACUAGAGAGAUUGUUAGUCUUGGAUCACAGUAUUGUUGAAAUUUAUCACAGUUAGUGGGAAUCUGGUUACAUGACAACACUAAUGAUAGAAAAGCUAUAUGCAAGUAAUUAACCAGUUUCUGAGAGAGGAAAUACUGUAUUUUAAAGUCUGGUGGUUUAUCAGCAAAGUAGCUGAGUGUAACGCAUUCUUGGACAAGCCCCUCUCCACUAGAACAAAUCACAGCACCCCUGUGUUUAGAUGAGAAGUGGACCUACUAGGCUGAAGACUUUAGAUACCAAUUUAAAAGUAUUUAUAGUUUUAAUGGUGAAUCCUGCCCUUCAGUAUUAACAAUUAUUGCUGUGAUAUGCAACAGAAUACAGAGCAGGCCUUUUUUUAUUGGAACUUUAAUCUCCAUGUAUAAUUGCCAGCAAUAAACAGCCUAUUUUAUAGUAACAGCUGCAAGAGGGUCUGCUGCCCACAUUGAAAAAGCAACUGCCUGGUUAUGCAACCAGUGCUCUACUUUGUAUUACAUUAAAUUUCCAUAUCAGAGUUGGAGAGACUUGGCCUCACCAAUGUCAUUCACAGACAGCCAUAAAAUUCCUAGAUUUGGGCUCACUCUUAGGACAUAUUUAGAAAUCAGUGAGCCUGUAAUACUAUGGAUGAUAAUGCUGUGUGUGUUUCUAGCCUCUCUCACCAGAGGAUUUGAAAGCAGUUUAGAAAGGAAAGUAUAAAUUACUAAAUUCCAUUUUAGGCUAGGUCUACAUUAUGGCUGCAUGUACAGUACAGACACUUCACGAGCCCCUGACGUGUAUAAAUAGCCACGUAGAAGGUGAGACACCGCUUAGGCAAGUAGAGACACGCUAGAAUCUUAGAGUACAUACCCUGCAUGGCUCUCUACACAUGACAUGCUACCCACAUCCACAUUGCUGGUUUUAGUGUCCCAAAGCCUCCCUCAUGCCAGAGCCUUUCCUCACCACAAUGAAAGACUCUGACAGUGGGGAAAGGCUCUGGCAUGGUAGAGGUAACGAGAAAAGGCUCCUGAAGAAUUUCUCCGCUGCUUCCCUCGUGCCAGAGCCUUUCACUGCCAUGUGCAGCUACACACCGCAGUGUGGAUGCUGCCUAAUUUUCACUGCGGCAUUUAGCUACAUUGUACCCUACACGCUGUUACUCUGUCUUUAAGGCCUUUUCUGGUAAGAGAAGCACAGAGAAGUUAAAAAACUUGCCCAAAGCAGCAUGAGCUGUCGAGACUUAGCACAAGCGUGAGAGUCAGGAAGUCGUAAGUUCUCAAUUCUGCUCUGCCAUUGACUUACUACGUGGUCUUAGGCAAAUCACUUUUCUGCCUCAGUUUCUUCAGCUAUUAAAUGGGAAUAAUCAGGAGUUGUGUAAAGGAAAGUGAGCAGUGUGUUAAAAGCAGAGGGGAGCUCCCACUCCUCCCCCCUGUCUUGGGAAAAAGCACUCCCCUACAGCUCCCCAUCCUAUUUUAACCUGCUUUCGCCAGGGGAUAAUACUAUUUGCUUAGUAUUAGUCUAGUAUUCUAAUCGUUGUCUCUACACUGCUUCGAACAUAUAAAGUACUAUAUGAAUUUGAAGUACGAUCAUUCAAGUCACUCAAUAAGACAGUGACAGAGCCAGGAAUAGAACCCAGGUUCUGACCUUAGAACACUGCUCUCACCACUAGAUUAUGCUGCCUCACUCAACCGGUUAAAAAAUAGGGAUCAUAAACUCUCCCCCAUCCUGUGAACCAAACCUGCAUUUUUUCAUAUUUACAUUGCUUUGCAGAAAGAGACCACUCCACCUCCUCUCUAGCCUCCUCCCACUCCCUAGCUCCUGAUCUAGUGUGAGUUCCCUCCCUGUAAUCUUCCUCAAGUCUCUUACACUCUUCUUUCCUGUGACUUUCCAGUAGGCCUUCAGUCCACCUUCUCUCCUAAACACCCUUCAGCAGACCCAUCCUAUGUCCCUUUCCACUUGGUUUCACAAUCCACUUGUGCUACUACUCUGUUGGGCCCUGGCCAGCUCUGAUUCCAUAUGUCAUGUUCCCUCGGACACUCAAUGCAAUGUAGGGCAAAUAAUUGCAGAGCACAUGAAUUCAGUGACAAUCAGGACCAGCCAUGAGGAAUCACAUGGUUUAAAUGAAAGGACACUCAGUGGUUGCAGGCCCUCAGAGAAAAGGGGCCAAUCAGAAGAUUGAGAGACAGGACAAAAGGAGAUAAAGACUAUUGGAAGGUCAUAGUGGGAGGAGAUAUGGGAAGGAACUAGAGCCUACAACAGGAUUAUGGAGGGAGUAGCCUGUGCCUAUUGACAGGGUUUUUGAGAAAGACGACUAAAAAUUAGGUUAAGACCGAACAUCCAGUCCUUUAGAGAUUGCUCAUCACUAGCCAUAAUCCUUUUCAUAAGAUUUCAGCUAAGUCUGCACUGCAAACAUUACUCACAAAACAGGAUAACUGAACAGGGAAGUGCUAAACCAUUAUUGUAAGAAUGCAAAAUGAUCCAUACCAGUAGCUCGGAUUGGGCACAUUUCAGGGGCACUUGUUGCCCCAGGAGACCAGCAUCGUCCAGUGUCACAGCAGCAUUGCAUUUUAGUUAAAACUUGGGGUAGCUGAUUGCCACAACGGCCAUUGGUCAGAGAAGA